CCGCCGGAAGCAGCCGUUUGAAGAGAGUGCGCAAGGGAAUAUGAAGUCAAAGCAGAAGAGUUUCGAGAAGAAGGAGUACUCAACAGCAUCAAGGAAACAAGUUAGGUUAGUUGUCAAGGGCUCAUGAGAUUACACAGAGCUAACUUUAAGUAAGACUCCAAGAGGCAUCAAAAAGCAAUAACAAAGACAAACUAGAUAAUCAUACUCCAGUAUGGUAUUAGAAGAUAUUUAACAACUCCCACACUCUUUGGGGUGAGUAUGCCCCUGAGAUGCUUGGUUAAUUCUGGAGCAGAGCAAAGAGAAGUAUCCCAAGGAAGAUCCUUGACUAUCAACUCAAUACAGCAGGUAGGAGCUCAAAGUCAAAUUGCUGUAUCUGAAGUAACAAUCCCAGCAAACCCUGAAAAGGAGGUGGCUGCAGCAAUAUCUUGGAAAUCUGCUGGAAGUUCUUGCUUUACACUUAAGAACCUGGGGGUAGAGGAUGAGACAGUUUCCUGAAGAAAAACGCAGGGAAGAAAGUAGUAAUUCCGGGACCUUAUCAGUAAUAAAAUAGUUCAACGUAUUCUCAUAUUGUCCUUUUAAGCUGGGCUAUAUCUAUGCCCAUGUCUCCCUUUUUAAUCACAUUUGUUUCUUCUUUUUUUCAUGUAUGAAUGUCACCAAAAAUUUAUCUAAUUUGAUUCUAUUUUUAAAGAAUGAACAUUUAUCUUGAUUAAUUCAUUUAUGGUAUAU